rnacentral:lncRNA from 13 species
GAACAACCAGCAGUUACUGUUAGAAAGGCUCCAGUCACAGUUUUCUCCACAUCGUUGGGCACAUCUCCAACAAGGAAUAAGACUUUUGUUUGUUCUACACAUUAUGAUGGUGGACUGGGCGUCCAUGCUGGGGCCAUGGGGGAUGGGUCGCCUGUGCAUUGUACAGUUCUGUCUACAUCCUAAAUGGAAACCUGAUCUCUACAUAGUGGAGUUUUGGUUCACUAAGCAGAUCGUAGCGCUGCUUGCCUCCGUCGCCGGCCUCGCCAGAACGGUUGGCACUGAAUCUGUGAGAGAAGUACUGUACAUGUACCCAGUAACCACUGGGGCGUGGCUGGUAUAUAUGUACCCAGUAACCACUGGGGCGUGGCUGUAUUCCUUCAAUGACCUGAGUGGGUCCGUGUCACUGGCCUGGGUUGGAGACGCCACUGGGGUCAUCCUGGCUCUGACAACAUUCCAGGUGCCGUUCUUCAUGUUGCGAUUCGGUCAGUCUAAACUCUAUCGAAGUGAGAACUACGGGAAGUCGUUCCAGGACGUCACAAACCUCAUCAACAACACUUUCAUCCGGACAGAGUUCGGCAUCGCCAUCGGACCAGAGAACUCUGGGAAGGUGAUCCUGACAGGUGAUGUGUCUGGCAGCCUGGGCUCUCGUAUCUUUAUCUCCAGAGACUUUGGGAACAGCUUUGAGCAGCAGGACCUUCCCUUCAACCCCCUGAUGCAGAUCAUAUACAACCCCAUAGACGCCAACGUUCUCCUGGUCAUCAGCAACACUAAUGAACUCUGGCUGUCUGAGGACUUUGGGGAGAAGUGGAGGAAGAUCCACGACAUGGUGUGUCUGCUGCAUGUCUAUAGGAGAGCAGCCAUACAUGGAGAAACGCUGGAUUAUAUCUAUAUGUCUCUCAGGAUAACCUCUGUCUCGUCGUUGUGUUUAUUUAUUUCUCCUCCAGACGGCUCGGUGCAGUCCGUGGUGUCCUUCGACCAGGGAGGGGAAUGGGUGCCCCUGCAGAAACCUGCCAACACCAAGUGUGACUCCACAGCCAAAGACCCCGACAAGUGCAGUCUCCACAUCCACGCAGCUUACAGCACGGCUAUGAAGCUGAACGUCCCCAUGCUGCCUCUCAGUGAACCAAACGCUGUAGGACUCAUCAUGGCUCACGGGAGUGUGGGCGAUGCCAUCUCUGUGAUGAAGCCUGACGUAUUCGUGUCAGAUGAUGGAGGUUACACCUGGCUACAGGCCCUGGAGGGACCUCACCACUAUGCCAUCCUGGACUCUGGUGGACUCCUGGUGGCCGUGGAGCACUCUGCUCAGCCCAUCAAAGACAUCAAGUUUUCCACAGACGAGGGCCAGUGCUGGCACGUUCACCAGUUCACUAGCGAUCCCAUCCACUUCACAGGGCUAGCGUCGGAGCCGGGGGCGAGGUCUAUGAACGUCAGUGUCUGGGGCUACAGAGACUCUCUGCUCAGUCAGUACUGGGUAUCAGUCACCAUCGACUUCAGAGAGCUGCUCACUAGAGACUUGGUGGUCNNNNNNNNNNUGGGUUACAAGGAGAAGUUCCUGCGUCUGAGGAAGGCCUCUGUCUGCUUGAACGGACGGGACUAUGAGGUCAACAAGCAACCCGCCCCUUGUCCCUGCACCCUGGAUGACUUUCUGUGUGACUUUGGGUACUAUCGUAAAGAGAACAGCUCCGAGUGUGUGGAGCAGCCUGACCUGAAGGGCCACGUUCUGGAGUUCUGUCUGCAAGGCAAGAAGGAGCUGCUGCAGACCAGAGGCUAUAGGAAGAUCCCUGGGGAUAAGUGUGAGGGAGGAACACAGCCGGAGAGAAAAGAGAUAGACCUCAGUAAGAGGUGUGUCAAUGACCUACUGGGACCUCAGGAACUACUGGUGAUUCUGAUCAUUAUCCUGCUCAGUGUCGUGGCCGGGUUCCUCUUUGUCAAGAAGUACGUCUGUGGUGGAAGGUUCCUGGUACACAGGUACUCUGUCCUACAGCAGCAUGCUGAGGCCCAGGGAGACGGAGUAGACGAGCCAUUAGACAGCAACCACACUCGGGCUAGCAACAAGACCGGCUUACACGAUUCAGACGAGGUAAUGGUACAAACACACAAACGUUUUUUUUGUAUGGCCUCCGCACUUAUUAUAAAUAUACAAUUUACCUCAAUCCCUUGGUGA